AUGCAGGACAUUUGGUGUCAUAAUCAUUCCCUAAUGACGAUACGAGAUGCUGCCCAUGCUGCCUGCGUAUCUCGUGCCUUUGGAAGUUCUUGGAAAAGCUAUCCCAACCUCAUAUUUAAUACUCGAACAAUAGUGUUGCGGGAUGGCAUGGAUUUCACCUGCCGAGUUGAUCACAUUUUGGAAAAACACUCUGGCAUUGGCGUGAAGGCAUUCGAGCUUAAUUUUCCCUUUUUCUACAAGUCUGAUGGCUAUAAAUAUCUCCAUAGGUGGCUUGAGAUAGUGGUUAAACCUGGCAUUGAAAAACUCACCCUUGCGAUUCCUGAGAGAGAGGAAGUCAACUUCCCAUGCCAAGUUCUAUCUGAUGGGAAUGGAAGCUCGAUGUGGUAUCUUCACCUUGCUUACUGUGCCUUCCAUCCUACAGUCAGUCUUGGUUGCUUGAGAAGUUUGACAGUGCUGUUUCUCGACUGUGUGCGAAUUACAGGGAACGAGUUAGGGUACAUUUUUUCCAGCUGUGUUGCUUUGGAGCAUUUGGAACUCAGGGAAUGCUCCGAGAUAACUUACUUGAAGAUACCUUCCCAGCUGCAGCGGCUCAGUUCCGUGCAUGUGUUAGAAUGCCACAAACUGCGAACGAUAAAGAUCGAAGCUCCAAAUAUUUGUAGGUUUCACUUUACAACAUUUCACAAUGUAGAGUUCUCACUUGGAGAAUCAUUGCAACUGAAGAACCUAGAGAUGCUCUGUUGCCGCCUCCUCUAUUAUGCACUUGAAGAGCUACCAUCCAUUGCGCCGAAUCUUGAAACUUUUAGCAUAUUUUCAUACCAUGAGGUGGUAAAUACAACAAUGGCAUUGGCGCCUAGCAAGUUCCUCCACCUGAAGUACCUGAGUAUUAGUAUUCAUGGAGACUACGAUUAUUUUUCUCUGAUUUCUUUUCUUGAUGCCGCUCCUUCCUUGGAGAUGUUCACACUGAAUGUACUGAUACGGCAAGAAUGCAUUGAUGAAUUGCUUUAUAAAGAUCCGCCACGUCUAAGGAAGUUGCCAGGAUACAUGCUUGACAAGCUCAAGACAGUGAAGAUAUCUCGGUUCUGCUCUUCAAAGAGCUUGGUUGAGCUGGCGUGCCAUAUUCUUGAAAACCCAGCAUCAGAGCGUCUUGCACUGGACACCACCGGUGGUGGUCUCCGGUGUUCUGACCGCGGUCCCGUAAAUGCUCCUUCUUGCAUAGAGCCACGGAUGCCCAUACAGCGGUCUUGGUAA
rnacentral:rRNA from 1 species